AGAAAUUGGUUUCCUUUGUGCAUACGUCUGCACUUUCACAUAUACCCACGUGUGGUCAGCUGAAAAAUGACUCCUCGAAAGAUAUUCAUAUCAAACUCCUGGCAGCUAUGAAUGUGACUUUAUUUGGAAAAAGGGUCUUUGCAGGUGUAAUUAAAUGAAGGAUGUUGAGAUAAGGUGAUUAUUUGGGAUUGCUCAGGUUGGCCCUAAUUCGAAUGAUGAAUGUCUUUAUGAGAGAACGGCAGAGGGAGAUUUGAGACAGAUAGGAGUGAAAACACAGAGAGGAGGAGGAGGCAACGUGACCAUGGAAUAAGACAUUGGAGUGAAGUAGCCACAAGCCAAGGAAUGCCUAAAGCCACCAAAAGCUGGAAGACGCAGGAAAGGAGCCUCCUGGAGAGAUUUCUGAGGGAGCACAGCCCCACCGAUGCCAUGAUUUCAGCCUUCUGGUUCCCAGAAUUGUGAAAGAGUAAAUUUCUGUUGUUUCAAGUGGCCAAGUUGGUGGUAAUUUGCUACUGAAACCCCAGGAAGGGGCCUGCCAAAGGCUUCAAACAGCAUCUUUAUGGGCCACUGCCACUUCAAGCACCACCAGAUCUGCUGAGUUGUACAGGCCAUGUAGCAGAGUACCUUGCAUGGCAGCCUGGGCCUGUUGCAGAGCCCUCGCUUAUUUUGAGCACCACUCAAAACUGGCAGCUCCUAUGGAUCACUUGCUUUGUGCCUGGAUACUAGCAGGAAGGAAGAGGAGGAGCAAGAAUGGAAGGCUUGUACCAACAAGUUCUUAUCCUUUUUAAUGAGGAAAACAAGAGCAUCCCUAUUCUGCUCUUAUCUCACCGAGUUCCAUGGCCAUUCUGAGCUGCAGUGGAGUCUUGGGAGAAUUUGUAUGUGUUGAAGUUGGUGGAUAGACAUGAGAAGCAGAUUGAGGGAUCUGUGGAAAGGGAGAGGAAGAGGAGGAGGGGGCUGUCAGAGGAGUAAUGGAUGCUAGAGGAAUGGAUUCCCUCCAGUUUUAGUAAAUAUAGGACAUUUGGCUGGAUUCAAAGAACUUUGAAGCCCAAGGGGAUGGAGGAACCACGGGAUGGAAGGAUCGAGGCCAUCAAGCUACUGAUGGUCUUACGAAUGGAACCCCAAA
rnacentral:lncRNA from 1 species